GCAAGCCCAUUUGGAUGGAUGAUCAUUUUCCAUCCUGCCACGUCACCACUCGUUGGCGGGCAUCCAACUCGCCCUACCAAAAUUGGCAGGAAUCCGAUCUUAUACAUGUUGAUUGGAGGUUGGAAGCAGGGAAUGUUUCCUGCCAAGUGGCAGGAUGCGGGGAUGCAACACCAAGUGUCAAUUUGGAUGAAUGAUAUUUUACAUUCUUCUUCAAAAUUAGGGCUUCAUCUAUAUCUCCUGGGCAGGCCCACCCUCGGUGGACUGAAUUGCCAUAGCUUUGAAGCACGAAACGACGAGCGGCCUUUUUCAUUGAUUGGGCUCUUGUCAAUUGUGGAGACGGAGGUGGAUUGUUGUCUUUGGUGAGAUUAAGUAAUUGGUUGUGAAUUUCGGCUAUCUUUUUUUCGCUUUUAUUACAAUAAAUAUCGUUGUGAGUACUCGUAGUAGUCUUGAUAUAUAUAUGCUGUAAGCAGAAUUCAGUGUGGUGGUUUGAGCUCUUCCUCCUUAAGCAAUCCUGGUUUCAUGCAAAGACUUCACCGUCGUCUUGUUAGUAACUUGCAGCAGCUAUGAUUCUUGCCCCGCCGCGAAUUGGCAACCCGCUCCCUAUCAGGACGACUCUGCUUCAUCUGGUGGGUGAUGACUUUCGGUGACAGAAGCGAACCAAACUAAGGAUUCAUGGCCGUGAGUUGUGAAGAGGGCAAGCAGUGCUUUGCUAUUUCAAUCAUGUUGGGGGUAAGUGCACCUGACGAACCAUAUCAGUUCCCAUGGGAUAAACCUAAUCCGCUGUACAAGUCAAACAGUUGCAGCCAUGCUGAGGGAAUGUUCCGAAGGAUAUCGAUAACGUAAUCUGUGUUGAUCCCUAGCGAUGAACCGUGUUGAAAUCAGCCGAAUUAUAUGUCCAGAUUAAUGUUCUGUAACUGAAACAUCUGAUUGCUGUAAAAAUCAAGUAAUAUUAUUGGUGAUAACCUAGACAGGUAGUAGGCCACGGGUUGGUUAUGGACAGCAGAGGGUCGUGUCAUGAUAGGUGCUGGUAAAUUUCGUCCCAUGUUUCUUCCUGUACCCUGAUCCCUGUAGUAGUCUAGGCUUCAUACGCACGAUGUGCUGCAUUAAAUUAACACUUUUCGUGUGGAUUGGCACAUUCCUCAUACAUAUUCCUGGAUCUCAUGUCUAUAAGAAGAUAAAGUGGAUUACAAUGGUCUGGGAUUCGACUGGGCUCUGCGAUGCUGUUGGUUCAGAACCCGUGUGGUUAUUGAGAGAUUUGAGCUGUGGUGUUCCAUGCUUGAUGUCGAUCCUCACAGGUACAUGCGACGCACUCACAGAUGAGAAAAAUCAAAAUAUAUAAUAAAGGGAAAAAUAAUAAAAGAAAAGAGGAGGCAAGUCCUGAGUGAUUGGGGCUUAUGGAGGGCAUGCAACUCAUCUGAUAUUUCUGAUUCAUGCGGUAAGAAUUCAUGAGGAACAUGAAUGAUAAACUUUACUCUCAUGUUGCGCUUCUGACAUUGAGAGAAGGGUACUGAAGCCGUUACGAGUUAUGCAACAUUUUGGUUUUAAUGCUGAAAAGUUCUAGAUUGUAAGAAUCUAGUUUUUGCUUAAAAACACUUAUUUCUAGGUGUUCACGAAUGUUUAGUGUAACAAGUUUGGAGAUCACAAAACACGUUCAUUACGAAUUAAGUCAAGGUUAGAUGAGUUCACAGGUUCAUUCGAGAAAGAAAUUCCUACUCUCUCAUUUUAAGAUGCUUUGAAGAAUUCUUGGCCUCGUUGUGACCGAAGAUGAGAUUAGGAAACUCCAGGAAAACUUCAUAGACGGGAGACGACACAAACAUGACCAAGUACUCAGUCACGAAAUCAAUCACCGAAUUUCUAGUGCUUGGGAGAUGUGAUUAUCAGAAGAUUUUCCUUCAAACAUUUGAGCGCCGUGGGUGCUCCUGAGAGCUUCUUCGUGCACAGGACCUCAGAAAGCAAAAAUAAAUUUCCUUCGUAUCUCUGUCAGAUGAGUGACCCAAAUUAUAGAAUACAAAUUCCUGAAACAAUUCAUCGUUCUUGUCAGUAUGUUCAAGCAUGUAGUUCAGUAAUUUGUAGCGUUCUACAGGCGAUUCUUACAGUAAAACCAUCACCCAUUUCAACAUGGUGCUCUGCACAAGACAUCCAUCAAUGGGGCUUCACAUGGAAACACAGUUGUGUGUUCCAGUAAGAAGAUUUCCAAAAUGACCAUCGUUGUGCACUGUUACUCUCUUUCUAGAUUGUGAACUCGAAUCAAAUAUGUACGGCUCUGAGACCCACCAAUUCAGAUCUCCUUUAAAACUGA